ensembl:lncRNA
GUGAGUCCCCAUCCGGUGAUGUAGCAAAGGUUGUUGUGGGGCAGGAGCUGGCCGGAGGGAGGGAGGGAACCCAGCUGGAUGUAAGAGUUCAGAGUGGCCUCGGUGGACAGACGCAGCAGGGCAAUGUCAUACCCAGCAGCAACAUUGUUGGAGUUCCAUCUGGGGUGGAUGUGCGUCCCCAUCCGGUGAUGUAGCAAAGGUUGUUGUGGGGCAGGAGCUGGCCGGAGGGAGGGAGGGAACCCAGCUGGACGUAAGAGUUCAGAGUGGCCUCGGUGGACAGACGCAGCAGGGCAAUGUCAUACCUGAGUUGGUGAGAAAGCUUACUGUAAAACACUGUUCACAGCAUCUCACACACUAAAUGUCUAAGAACAAGACAAACACUUGUUACCCAGCAGCAACACUGUUGGAGUUCCAUCUGGGGUGGAUGUGCACUUUGCUGACGGCAAUGAUCUGCUCUGUGCCUCCGUUUUUGUAGAGGUCAUGCUCCCCAAGGACAACACGGUAGGUCAUGGGUCUGUCCACACAGUGAGCAGCUGUCAUAACCCAGCCUCUCUUAAUCAGGGUUCCUCCGCAUGUGUGAUAAUAGUUGCUGCCAGAUCUGUACUGAAGAGAGAUGCCAGGGCCAAGAGUUGGGAGAGGCCACUUCACCUCCGACAACCCUCUCAAGGCUAUCCUCGAUGUACCUGGGCUGUGGUCCCAGGUCAGCCAGAACUUGUUAAAAAAGAAAGGAAAACAAAGCUGCAUGAGUUUUAUGUUCCUGCAUCUCCUGUGGUGUUACACAGCAGUGUGUACAGUGUGGUUUUCUUACCCAGGGCUGCAAGGCUUGUCAACACCAGAAACCUCAGCAUGUCUGCACAAUGUCAGAAUGUGUCUGCGAGGAAUCAGACCUUUCCCCCUGCUUUUAUACCUCUCUACAGUGGAAAAUUGAGGCUGUUGUGUCAAGCAUGGGAAACACACCUGUGAUCCGUCUCACAAUGUGUUAUCAGUUGGUCAGCACACACCUCCUACUUUCAAUGUUUAAAAAUGCUGCACAAGGAGCAAAACAAUUAUAACAUAUUUGAUAAAAUCUGUCACAGUUUUCCUUGCUUUGUAUUUGUGGAUGAAAACAUCUUCUUUUCUGGUAAUUUAGGUGGAUAUGUUGAAGAAAGCCUGGGUAAGAUGUACAGGUAGUUUCUUUUCAUACAAAUACUGUGAAUUUUUUCUUUGAGUAAACAUGUUUUUUUUUCCUUGCCAAAAUUCUCCACCUUUAAGUCUUGAGAGAUUUUUGCUUGUUGUGUCUCUCUAACAAAUGGAAAUAAAUACAUACCAAAGAAGUGGCUACCAAUUGAUACAACCAGUCCACUGGAGAUAAGGCACAGAUCCAGUUUAAACCAGUAGCAUGUGGACUGGUUGCUCUCGCAGAAGGACACGUGUGUGUGAUGUGUGUGUUAAGGAAUACAGUCAAUAAACCAGUCUAAAUCAACACAGUUUAAAGAAAAGGUGCACUGCCUGAAGUCUCAAGUUCAAUGAGGGUAAAUUAAUAGUGCCUUAAAAUGGAUCUUUUGAUUUCGUCGCUGUUUAUGAUGAUUGGUUUUAAUUAAA